rnacentral:rRNA from 1 species
UUGGUGAGAUAACAGCCCACCAAGGCAACGAUGGGUAGCCGACCUGAGAGGGUGACCGGCCACACUGGAACUUAGACACGGUCCAGACUCCUACGGGAGGCAGCAGUGGGGAAUUUUGCGCAAUGGGGGGAACCCUGACGCAGCGACGCCGCGUGAGCGACGAAGGCCUUCGGGUCGUAAAGCUCAGUUAUUGGGGAUGAAAAGGACAGUACCCAAAGAGAAAGCCCCGGCUAACUACGUGCCAGCAGCCGCGGUAAUACGUAGGGGGCGAGCGUUGUCCGGAAUUACUGGGUGUAAAGGGCGUGUAGGCGGGGAUGCAAGUUAUCGGUUAAAACCCAAGGCUCAACCUUGGGCUUGCCGGUAAAACUGUGUCUCUUGAGUAUAGGAGAGGGAAGUGGAAUUCCCGGAGUAGCGGUGAAAUGCGUAGAUACCGGGAGGAACACCAGUGGCGAAGGCGGCUUCCUGGCCUAUCACUGACGCUGAGGCGCGAAAGCUAGGGUAGCGAACGGGAUUAGAUACCCCGGUAGUCCUAGCCGUAAACGAUGGUCACUAGGUGUGGGUGGUGGUCAAGCCAUCCGU